UACGUAGGGACCAAGCGUUGUUCGGAUUUACUGGGCGUAAAGGGCGCGUAGGCGGCGUGGUAAGUCACUUGUGAAAUCUCUGAGCUUAACUCAGAACGGCCAAGUGAUACUGCUGUGCUAGAGUGCAGAAGGGGCAAUCGGAAUUCUUGGUGUAGCGGUGAAAUGCGUAGGUAUCAAGAGGAACACCUGAGGUGAAGACGGGUUGCUGGGCUGACACUGACGCUGAGGCGCGAAAGCCAGGGGAGCAAACGGG
rnacentral:rRNA from 1 species